UGUAUAAUGGGUCAGCGACUUAUAUUCUGUAGCAAGGUUAACCGAAUAGGGGAGCCGAAGGGAAACCGAGUCUUAACUGGGCGUUAAGUUGCAGGGUAUAGACCCGAAACCCGGUGAUCUAGCCAUGGGCAGGUUGAAGGUUGGGUAACACUAACUGGAGGACCGAACCGACUAAUGUUGAAAAAUUAGCGGAUGACUUGUGGCUGGGGGUGAAAGGCCAAUCAAACCGGGAGAUAGCUGGUUCUCCCCGAAAGCUAUUUAGGUAGCGCCUCGUGAAUUCAUCUCCGGGGGUAGAGCACUGUUUCGGCAAGGGGGUCAUCCCGACUUACCAACCCGAUGCAAACUGCGAAUACCGGAGAAUGUUAUCACGGGAGACACACGGCGGGUGCUAACGUCCGUCGUGAAGAGGGAAACAACCCAGACCGCCAGCUAAGGUCCCAAAGUCAUGGUUAAGUGGGAAACGAUGUGGGAAGGCCCAGACAGCCAGGAUGUUGGCUUAGAAGCAGCCAUCAUUUAAAGAAAGCGUAAUAGCUCACUGGUCGAGUCGGCCUGCGCGGAAGAUGUAACGGGGCUAAACCAUGCACCGAAGCUGCGGCAGCGACGCUUAUGCGUUGUUGGGUAGGGGAGCGUUCUGUAAGCCUGUGAAGGUGUGCUGUGAGGCAUGCUGGAGGUAUCAGAAGUGCGAAUGCUGACAUAAGUAACGAUAAAGCGGGUGAAAAGCCCGCUCGCCGGAAGACCAAGGGUUCCUGUCCAACGUUAAUCGGGGCAGGGUGAGUCGACCCCUAAGGCGAGGCCGAAAGGCGUAGUCGAUGGGAAACAGGUUAAUAUUCCUGUACUUGGUGUUACUGCGAAGGGGGGACGGAGAAGGCUAUGUUGGCCGGGCGACGGUUGUCCCGGUUUAAGCGUGUAGGCUGGUUUUCCAGGCAAAUCCGGAAAAUCAAGGCUGAGGCGUGAUGACGAGGCACUACGGUGCUGAAGCAACAAAUGCCCUGCUUCCAGGAAAAGCCUCUAAGCAUCAGGUAACAUCAAAUCGUACCCCAAACCGACACAGGUGGUCAGGUAGAGAAUACCAAGGCGCUUGAGAGAACUCGGGUGAAGGAACUAGGCAAAAUGGUGCCGUAACUUCGGGAGAAGGCACGCUGAUAUGUAGGUGAAGUCCCUCGCGGAUGGAGCUGAAAUCAGUCGAAGAUACCAGCUGGCUGCAACUGUUUAUUAAAAACACAGCACUGUGCAAACACGAAAGUGGACGUAUACGGUGUGACGCCUGCCCGGUGCCGGAAGGUUAAUUGAUGGGGUUAGCCGCAAGGCGAAGCUCUUGAUCGAAGCCCCGGUAAACGGCGGCCGUAACUAUAACGGUCCUAAGGUAGCGAAAUUCCUUGUCGGGUAAGUUCCGACCUGCACGAAUGGCGUAAUGAUGGCCAGGCUGUCUCCACCCGAGACUCAGUGAAAUUGAACUCGCUGUGAAGAUGCAGUGUACCCGCGGCAAGACGGAAAGACCCCGUGAACCUUUACUAUAGCUUGACACUGAACAUUGAGCCUUGAUGUGUAGGAUAGGUGGGAGGCUUAGAAGUGUGGACGCCAGUCUGCAUGGAGCCGACCUUGAAAUACCACCCUUUAAUGUUUGAUGUUCUAACGUUGACCCGUAAUCCGGGUUGCGGACAGUGUCUGGUGGGUAGUUUGACUGGGGCGGUCUCCUCCUAAAGAGUAACGGAGGAGCACGAAGGUUGGCUAAUCCUGGUCGGACAUCAGGAGGUUAGUGCAAUGGCAUAAGCCAGCUUGACUGCGAGCGUGACGGCGCGAGCAGGUGCGAAAGCAGGUCAUAGUGAUCCGGUGGUUCUGAAUGGAAGGGCCAUCGCUCAACGGAUAAAAGGUACUCCGGGGAUAACAGGCUGAUACCGCCCAAGAGUUCAUAUCGACGGCGGUGUUUGGCACCUCGAUGUCGGCUCAUCACAUCCUGGGGCUGAAGUAGGUCCCAAGGGUAUGGCUGUUCGCCAUUUAAAGUGGUACGCGAGCUGGGUUUAGAACGUCGUGAGACAGUUCGGUCCCUAUCUGCCGUGGGCGCUGGAGAACUGAGGGGGGCUGCUCCUAGUACGAGAGGACCGGAGUGGACGCAUCACUGGUGUUCGGGUUGUCAUGCCAAUGGCACUGCCCGGUAGCUAAAUGCGGAAGAGAUAAGUGCUGAAAGCAUCUAAGCACGAAACUUGCC
rnacentral:rRNA from 1 species